UCCUGCUUAGCUCAGUUGGUAGAGCGCUCUAAUGGCGAUGAAGAGGUCCCGGGUUCGAUACCCAGACUGGGAA
rnacentral:tRNA from 2 species